rnacentral:misc_RNA from 1 species
GUUUUGCAUGUUCUAUUCCUGUACUUGUUCCGGUUCAGGAUUGAGUUUGAUUAUCAGCCUCAAUAAACAGGUAACCUAACGAGAUAUUGUAAGCAACUUAUACAAGGAUUGCCCCAUCAUUUUUUUCCCUCAUCUCAUCUCUUGAAUGACUUCGCUAGUCCAAAUAAAGAAAUGAACCUCUGAGUUAAUUCAAAUAAAAUCUCCAAUAACAUAAUUCAACAAACAUAACCAGACAAACAAACAUAAUAUAUUGCUGUUAUGGUAAAAUUUCUGUCAUCAUCUAUUACAAAACUCAAGUAGGUCAAUAUUUUACAGCAAAGAAUAGAAAAGAACUUGCCCCACAAUCAGGUUGUCCAACUCU